GACGGACGCUGGCGGCGUGCUUAACACAUGCAAGUCGAACGGAAAGGCCCUGCUUUUGUGGGGUGCUCGAGUGGCGAACGGGUGAGUAACACGUGAGUAACCUGCCCUUGACUUUGGGAUAACUUCAGGAAACUGGGGCUAAUACCGGAUAGGAGCUCCUGCUGCAUGGUGGGGGUUGGAAAGAUUCGGCGGUUGGGGCUGGACUCGCGGCUUAUCAGCUUGUUGGUGGGGUAGUGGCUUACCAAGGCUUUGACGGGUAGCCGGCCUGAGAGGGUGACCGGCCACAUUGGGACUGAGAUACGGCCCAGACUCCUACGGGAGGCAGCAGUGGGGAAUAUUGCACAAUGGGCGGAAGCCUGAUGCAGCAACGCCGCGUGCGGGAUGCCGGCCUUCGGGUUGUAAACCGCUUUCGCCUGUGACGAAGCGUGAGUGACGGUAAUGGGUAAAGAAGCACCGGCUAACUACGUG
rnacentral:rRNA from 1 species